GACGAACGCUGGCGGCGUGCUUAACACAUGCAAGUCGUACGGUAAGGCCCUUUCGGGGGUACACGAGUGGCGAACGGGUGAGUAACACGUGAGUAACCUGCCCACAACUUUGGGAUAACGCUAGGAAACUGGUGCUAAUACUGGAUAUGUGCUCCUGCUGCAUGGUGGGGGUUGGAAAGCUCCGGCGGUUGUGAUGGACUCGCGGCCUAUCAGCUUGUUGGUGGGGUAGUGGCCUACCAAGGCGGCGACGGGUAGCCGGCCUGAGAGGGUGACCGGCCACAUUGGGACUGAGAUACGGCCCAGACUCCUACGGGAGGCAGCAGUGGGGAAUAUUGCACAAUGGGCGCAAGCCUGAUGCAGCAACGCCGCGUGCGGGAUGACGGCCUUCGGGUUGUAAACCGCUUUCAGCAGGGACGAAGCUUUUUGUGACGGUACCUGCAGAAGAAGCACCGGCUAACUACGUG
rnacentral:rRNA from 1 species